ACAGUGUUACAGGAGCUGUGUUAGUGACCCAGGCAGUUAUACACAAAUAUCUGGUGCAAACAUACAGUAGACAUGCCAAGAUAUCAAGUCACUGUUAUCUAAAUAAAUACAUUCAUACAUACAUAAAAAUCUUUCUUUGUUCAGACUAUAAACAUGCUGCCCAUUACACCAUGUGUGUUUCAGAUUCACGCUCUUUUAACAAAUAUAUAUAUUUUAGUUUUGCAUUUACCAUUUGUUACAAUUCCUUUGGAACAUUUAAUACAUCUGUCUUGGUCUCCGUGCCUGCCCGGCCGGCCCCACAAGGCUACAUGUUCUGUUUUGGUUCUCUCUCUCUCUCUCUCCCUCUCUGCCUGGGCGGAGCUCACUGCGGGCUCCCGCCCUUGGCCCACACACCUGUCAUCAAUCACCAGUCAUCACCAGGAGCACUACUUGAGGCUGGGACACAGAUCCUCUCAUCGCUGGAUGAUUGUGCUUAACACUUUUCCUCCCUGGACCUGUGACCUCCCAGCUGUGUGGUUGUGUGUGAGUUGGAGUAAGAGGAGGAGACGAGUGCGCGAGCGUUUUCCCCUGGAUCUUCCCUGGGACCCUUCUCCUACCCGGAUUUCCCCCACUGUACAUAUUCUGCACUUGGUGUUGUAAAUAAACUCUGUGUUGGAACUGA